rnacentral:rRNA from 1 species
AUUGAACGCUGGCGGCAGGCCUAACACAUGCAAGUCGAACGAGUGGCGGACGGGUGAGAAAUGUCUGGGAAACCGCCUGAUGGAGGGGGAUAACUACUGGAAACGGUAGCAAAUACCGCAUACCAUCAGGUGUCCCCAGAUGGGAUUAGCUAGUGGGGGGGGUAACGGCUCACAAAGGCGACGAUCCCUAGCUGGUCUGAGAGGAUGACCAGCCACACUGGAACUGAGACACGGCCCAGACUCCUACGGGAGGCAGCAGUGGGGAAUAUUGCACAAUGGGCGCAAGCCUGAUGCAGCCAUGCCGCGUGUAUGAAGAAGGCCUUCGGGUUGUAAAGUACUUUCAGCGGGGAGGCGUUACCCACAGAAGAAGCACCGGCUAACUCCGUGCCAGCAGCCGCGGUAAUUC